ACUACCAUAGGGUUCCAAUAAUCUUCCCCUUUUUGAUGUGCAUCAACCCAAAUUCAAGUUAGGGUAAAAAUAAUGCAAUAAAAGUAUUAUAAAGAAAUUGCAAUAAUAACAUUUUAGGAACAUUAAGUAUAAUGUUGCAAAAUUUUUAAAAAAAAUCCCCUGCUAAACUUGUACCUAUUCUUUUCCCUUUGAUCACAUCAAAAAAUUGAAAAAUAAUAUAAGAAGUUAGAAAAUUAAUUUUAAGUGUACUUAAAAAUAUUCCAUAAAGUCAUACUUUGUACUUGACAAGAAAGAGUUUUAAAGAAAAUAUUUUGUCAAUUCUAAAAAUGCGACUAAACCUUAAAAAAUUUUAAAACUUGUUAAAUGACUAUAACAUUAAAUCGUUUAACAGUUAGUUAAUUAAACAUUAAAUUCAAUAAUUGGCUUUCAGAGGAUGAUAAUUCGUCCCAUGUGGCCUUCAAGUUCUUGUGUUUUGGUAUGUUGCCCUUGUCUUUCUCCUUCUUCUUUAGUUUAGGGCAUUCACUUUUAAUGUGCCCUUCCCCUUGGCAGUUGUAACAUCGGACCUUUCUUUUAUUCCGAAAGUGUUUCUUUACCUCCGAAAGUGUUUUUUUGUCUGUGACUUAUUAAAUUUAUUAGAUUUAAUGUAUUUACUAAAUUUUCUUACCAUUAGAGCCGCUUCGUCUCUAUCAAUUGACUCUUUAGAGUCUGGAUCGUCCGUUCUUGUCUUGAGGGCAAUGUUCUGACUCGGUCUUUUUCUUUGUCCUGCACACCGAGAUUCGUGUAAUUCAAAAGUGGAGAAAAGAUUUUCUAAAGUACUCAUCUCGAGAUCUUUGGAGAUAUAGUAAGAGUCUACUAUAGAUGUCUAUUCCGGUGCUCUCGGGAACGUAUUUAAAGCAUACCUUAGCGUGUCCUGAUUGGUUACCGUUUCUCUGAGGUUUGUUAGGAUGGUGAUUAGCUCCUUGAUUCUUUCAUGUAGUUGAGCAACCGAUUCGUAUUCUUCUAUUCGGAGAAUGUUGAUUUGGUUCUGGAGUAGAUCUCGUUUUGCGAGUUUGGCUUCGGACAUACCUUCGUGUAGUUCCAGGAACUUCUCCCAAAUUUCCUUUGUUGAUUCAUAGGCGCCCAUUCUGUUGACUUCUUACGGAGGUAGCACGCUCAGUAAAUGGAAUUCGGCUCGUCCAUUUGCUACAAAAUCUGCUUGCUCCUUUUUGGUCCAUUGAUACUCCUCUUUGUCUUUCAGUGCUACAAAUCCAUAUUUUAAUAUUAACAAUAAAUCAAAAUCGGUUUUAAAAAAUACCUCAAUGCGUUUCUUUCAAGACACAAAUUCUCCCUCAAAUUUUAGCAGGAAGAUUGUCGGUCCGACCAUCGUUUCGGUGCUUCAGUCAGCGGUUAGUCCUUCUGAGGUGGUUGAACUAUGAUACCACUUGUUAGGACCCUUGGCGGCCGACUUGUGGGAGUGAGUUGCCAGAAAAAGAAAAUAAUACCUCUCCCUGUUCUUUCAACUCUAAUUAAAAGCAACAAUAACGAUAAAUUAAAAUAACGACUAGAAAGAAGAUGCACAAGGUUUACUUAGUUACAACCCAGAUGGUUGUUAAUCCAAGGCAAGUGAAAGCGCAAUAAGUAUCUCCUUCGUUGAAGGCGGAGAAGUCUCUUACACUCGUUGAAAAGCUCAGACAGUUGCUAGGAAAUGAUUACAAGAGUUGACGUCUAUUUCUUAGGUCCGGGGGUCUUUUUAUAACUCUUGGAAAAUCUUAUUCGUGGCUGGAAGGCGCCUCCAGCGAGGCACCAACUUUAUCCUUUGGCAACGGCUAAAUUCUGCCUGUCGAAGCCGCCUUCCAUGAAGGCUCGAAGGUGCCUUCAAGUGCCUGCACUUGAAAGCGCCUUCCAGCAGAAGGCUUUAGCAGCUACCGAGCUUCACUCUCUUCCUCUGGGUCUUCCGAAUGGGUGAUUAUGGUCAACCGAAAUAGGGCUCAAGCGAACUCAUUUUUCGGCCUUCUCCUCAAGCAGACUUUCUCUUUGGCUUCUUGUCCCUCAGAACGUCGCGUACGUCCUUCUCGUCUACCAGUGUACUCUUCCGCAGCACCUCGUCCCUCGGAUGCACCAAGCCCGUUGGCUCCCUUCCCAUGCCAUCCUUCUCGCUAGUUGCGUCUUCCGCUCGAUUUCUUGUGUUCCUAAGCUCCUGCACACUUAGACACAAGAUUCAAAUACAAUAGGACCUAAUUUUAAUUUGGUUGAUCAUAUCAAAACUACCACGGGAUUUCAACAGAAGACAUGUGUUUUGUUUACCUGAAUCAGCAAUAACAGUUAUAUAGGGACAUGAAGACUUGAGUGAUUCUUAAUAUUUUGAAAACUUGAUAAAUUCAUCUCCAGAGAUAAGGAUCGAUUUAUCAUAGACAUUAUUAGUGGACACAAUAUGGGUCAAGUGUUUUUGUUGAUUUUUGUACUGAAGCUUUCUACACUCAAACUUAAUAUGACCUAACUCACUAGUUGUACAUAAUAUCACCUGAAUUCGGCGUUUAAGUUUCAAAGUCCUGAGCCACAUCCUUUGUUUCCAUUGUAACUAGUUGAUCUUCUAAGCACAUAAUUAGUAUUGCGACUUACCAAAGCACUAUUAAGUUGAACGAAUGUAGUACUUUUUGUAUGGAGAACACGACUAAAUAAAUUUUGUAUAGAGGAGAUCUCAUAACCUAAGAGAACUUGUGACUUAGCAGACUUAAAGUCAAGAGAUGGACCAGCGAGGAAGCGUAUGAUAACAUCGGCUCUUGUUGAUAUUGUUGAACCUUCACAUUAGGGCUAAAGGGCAACAAGAUAUUAAGCUCCUCAUAUGUCUUCUUGAAUGCCAUAAAAUAAUUGAUUUUUUCACAUGUUAAAAUGCUUUGCAAACCUCAUAAAUGCAGGAGAGAUUCCCUUUUCCAAAGUAUAAAAAUUCUAAAUAAUCUAUCAAUUCUUUAGCAAAUUCACAUCAAACCAAUUACCUUACUAUUAAUAUAAUUCUGAAUCGAAGGCAUAAACAAGCAUCCUUUUUAAGCCAUGUCUACUUCAAAUUAUCUUGAGGGUCAUCAAUUAAAUGACCAUCUUUAUCAAUACUUCGUAGAUAAAGACGAACCGUCUUACUCCAAUCCAAAUAGUUCAACCAUUUAGCAUAUAGUCCGUGAUUUUAGACAUCAUAGGCUCCGUCACAAUUGAAGACUUAUUUUUAGCCAUAAGACCUUUUCCCAAAGGAAGUCAAAUAAGAGAAAAAUCCAAGUACAAACAAAUAAGACCGAACCAAUAUCAGCGUCGACUGGCAUGCAGAGGCUUCAGUAAUAGGAAAAAAAAAUCACGAGUGGGACAAAGAAACUACGUCCAAGGAGAACACACGACAUCCAGGGAGAGUGCAUGACGUCUAAGAAACCAAUAUGACGGGGGAUGCUCGACGCACAGGACGACGCGACCUGUAGUCGCACAUAGGUGUUGCUCACGUUGAGGAAAGUAGGGUGACAGAUAAGGAAGAGAAAGAAGGGCUAGAGGGGGUGGUGGAGAGGUUGAGAUCGGCGAAGAGGGCAAGGAAGGCGUCUAGGGUUAGAUCAUUGUCGCGGGCCUUGUCACGAUCGAGGGCGUCAAGGACGAAUCCGAAGAAGGUUGGGUCGGUGGCGUGUAGUGACUUUUGUUGCUAGAAGCAACGCCGUUGCACAUACGUGAGAGGAAGAAGAGGUUUUGAAGUAGCUCUGAUACCAUGUUAUUUAAGAUAAAAAGAAUAUGUAUAAUUUAUUGAAAAGUGAGACAUAUUUAUAUAUAAACUAGGAAUAUAUCUUAGGAAAUAAUCUAUCUUAGGAAACUAUAAUUAGACUAAUUGACUACUUACUAAUUGAUAGAAUAUAUACAGAUAAGUCAAAAGUAACUUUUGAAAGCACCCCAUCAAUCUAGCAACUUAUUCUUUUUUAUAUUUUUCUACUUUAAAAAUCACAUUAUUUAUUUAUUUAUAUUCAUUAAAUUAAUGUUAAAAUUUUAUCAGAAGACCAUCUAUUUAAAGAGAUCAACUCACCAUGUGAAUGAGUGUAUUAUUUUAUAUAUUUUUUUUUCUGCUCAAGUGUAUCUGGAAAUUGCGACCCAAUCUCCCUCUGUACCUCCCACUUCAUUUUUGGCAGGGAGGUUAACACAAGUUGUAUCUUGGUUAUACUUCUAGGUUGAAAUCUUAUCUUACAAGGAGUUUUGCCUCUGGGAUGAUUCUAUUUCAUUUCUUAUCUAAUUUUUCCUUUAUUUAAUUUAUUGUACGAUAAUUUUAUUUCUUAGAAUUAACUUUUUGAUUCUAUUUAUCAUAUUGGCUCUAACUACCUUGUCUAUAAUGCUCAUUACCAAAUAAUUGAAGUUCUACUAGGUUGCCCUCUUGUAUCCUUGUUUGAAAGAGUUAUCUUGACUUUUUGGCAAUUUCUUUCAAUGUACUUGUCUUUUCCUUUUCUCCCCUAUGGACUUAUAACUUAGAUAUUUGAUACAAAGUGACAAAUUGCAUAGCCUAAGUAUUUAUAUCAGUUAGUUAUUGUUCUUUUUUUUUAAAAAAAAUUAUUGCUCAGUAUGUAUUGUAUUUUCAAUGCAUUUGAUCGAUCUCAUUGUAUAAGAAAUGAGUUGACUGGUUCAUUUUGUUAUUUUGCACAUAGUCCAUCUUUGGGUUUGUGCUGUGUACAUUUCAAAUUAGUUUUUUUUGUCAAAUACUUGUUCUAUAACACUAUUGUUUAGCCACACUAAUUGAUCUUUAAUGUUGGUACAACUAAUUUGCAUCAUUCAAUAUUAUGCUUCUGCUAGUACUACUGUUUCUUGCAGAAUCUAUUCCCUGGAGUGGAGUUUAUGGUUUUCAAACUUCUCCAAAUUUUCUCGUGUGCAAUAGAACUGAUGUACUCGUCAGUCAUCAGUUGCCUCGGGUAUUUUUGACACAAUGAUGACUGAUGCCAAUUAUUCCUAAAUUGUGGAGCUAGUUAGAAUAAACCCACCGAACUCUACAAGAGUACAUUUUGGAUCUGGAACAGUUUGGAAGUUGAUCUGGAUAAACUCCUGUUUUUGGAUAGAAAUACUAGAGACGGAACAUGUUACUAAUGUUUAUAUUUUUGUUUUACUUUUGUAGCAAACAGCAGCAUGGAACGAAAACUCUCUUCCUGGAGGAGACGAGUUCUAGUCGAGUUGCACAGUAAUCAAUGAUAGAACACCAAGGAUGAAAGGAAAAAAUUUUCUUCCCGAAAUUCCACAAGCAAGCGAGAUUAUCUGAACACUAUCUAUGUAAGGUCUGGCCAGAGAAUUUUGCUGGGGACUGCAGGAGUUCCUCCACAAGCUGAUGAAGAGGAAGGGCUUCAAACAUUGAACCAGGUUUCUCUUGGACCAGGUUCCAUACAUCACCAUCAGCUUUUCCGUGGAUGAGCAGGAAGCAGGUGAGUGGAUGUGGUUCUAUCUUUUGCUGCCUGAACUCUUUUUGGUAGAUUAUGAUUCCUUCAGAAGAGUUUGCAUUUGGCUGUCCAUGUUUUUGUCUACUUUUCAAAAAAAAAAAAAAUCUCUUGAAGGAUUUAACUAAUAUGCUCAUACUAUUUUGGCUCUGAUUGAUGUGAUUGUGGAGCCAUUUUGAAAUGUUGCAUUUGGAUAAUGAUAAAGUUGGGGCAUAUUAUUUAAUAAUACAUCGGUAUCAAUAUUCAAUACAAAA